GGGAAUAAACGCUAUCUGCAGUCGAGCGAACGGAUAAGGAGCUUGCUCCUUUGAAGUUAGCGGCGGACGGGUGAGUAACACGUGGGUAACCUACCUAUAAGACUGGAAUAACUUCGGGAAACCGGAGCUAAUGCCGGAUAACAUAUAGAACCGCAUGGUUCUAUAGUGAAAGAUGGUUUUGCUAUCACUUAUAGAUGGACCCGCGCCGUAUUAGCUAGUUGGUAAGGUAAUGGCUUACCAAGGCGACGAUACGUAGCCGACCUGAGAGGGUGAUCGGCCACACUGGAACUGAGACACGGUCCAGACUCCUACGGGAGGCAGCAGUAGGGAAUCUUCCGCAAUGGGCGAAAGCCUGACGGAGCAACGCCGCGUGAGUGAUGAAGGUUUUCGGAUCGUAAAACUCUGUUAUUAGGGAAGAACAAAUGCGUAAGUAACUGUGCGCAUCUUGACGGUACCUAAUCAGAAAGCCACGGCUAACUACGUGCCAGCAGCCGCGGUAAUACGUAGGUGGCAAGCGUUAUCCGGAAUUAUUGGGCGUAAAGCGCGCGUAGGCGGUUUCUUAAGUCUGAUGUGAAAGCCCACGGCUCAACCGUGGAGGGUCAUUGGAAACUGGGAAACUUGAGUGCAGAAGAGGAAAGUGGAAUUCCAUGUGUAGCGGUGAAAUGCGCAGAGAUAUGGAGGAACACCAGUGGCGAAGGCGACUUUCUGGUCUGUAACUGACGCUGAUGUGCGAAAGCGUGGGGAUCAAACAGGAUUAGAUACCCUGGUAGUCCACGCCGUAAACGAUGAGUGCUAAGUGUUAGGGGGUUUCCGCCCCUUAGUGCUGCAGCUAACGCAUUAAGCACUCCGCCUGGGGAGUACGACCGCAAGGUUGAAACUCAAAGGAAUUGACGGGGACCCGCACAAGCGGUGGAGCAUGUGGUUUAAUUCGAAGCAACGCGAAGAAGCCUUACCAAAUCUUGACAUCCUUUGAAAACUCUAGAGAUAGAGCCUUCCCCUUCGGGGGACAAAGUGACAGGUGGUGCAUGGGUUGUCGUCAGCUCGUGUCGUGAGAUGUUGGGGUUAAGUCCCCGCAACGAGCGCAACCCCUUAAAGGCUUAGUUGCCAUCAUUAAGGUUUGGGCACUCUAAGUUUGACUGCGGUGGACAAUCGAGUAGGUGGGGAUGACGUCAAUUCAUCAUGGCCCCGUAAUGGAAUUGGGGCUUAACACACACCGGUUGCCCCUACAC
rnacentral:rRNA from 1 species